CGUUCUUGGUGGCGCACCUUGUAAAAGGUGGCCGGUGCGAUUGCGCAUGAAUUUUCGUCAUGACUUGUCGUCGAGGCCGCCACGCAGGGCGGCUUUUUUAUU
rfam:Oligotropha carboxidovorans OM5, complete genome.